rnacentral:lncRNA from 1 species
UUUUGUUUAUAGAGAUAUUAAGAAAAGUUCAAGGUGUGUCUUAAACAUUUUAAUGUCUAUCAUUGUAAAAAUGGAGAGUAUUUACAUAGUGAGAUAAUAAUAGUGCUUGUAUAGAUGUAUGUUUAAUGAAUAGUAUGUGCAAGCUAAAAAAGUAAAGUUUAAUAUUUCAAACAGCAAUGCAUAAAUUUGAUUGUCUAUGAUAAACCAUAUCUGAAAGUCAGGUUUUAUUUAAAUAAGUGAAGUAUUCUUAAUAAAAAUAAACUUAGAUAAAGAGCCAGGUAGGAAAUAUCACAAAGGCAAAAUUCAAAAUAUUUUGUUUUUAUUUCUAGAAUGAAAAAACACAAUAAAAACUGUGGUGGUUAUCUUGUUUCUACUGCUGUAAAUGAAACCUCUAGGAGGAGAAUAAAGAGCUCAUCUAUAUUUGUUUCCUGACCACGAAUUACUUCCUAUAAAAUGACUACUAGAUGACCAGUGAACAAAGCAAAUUUGAAAAUGAAACUUUUCAGGAAGAUGGAGGUAAAGGUGUUGCUUUAUAAUUCCCUCUUUUCAUUUCUAUAACAUGGUCAAAGUGAUAAAAAAGGAGGAUUUGGGAAAUAAAAUACUACCAGCAAUGAAAUAGGGAGUAAG